rnacentral:rRNA from 1 species
UACGGAGGGUGCAAGCGUUAUCCGGAUUUACUGGGUUAAAGGGUGUGUAGGCGGGCUAUUUAAGUCAGUGGUGAAAUCUCCGGGGCUCAACCUGAAACUGCCAUUGAUACUAUUAGUCUUGAAUUUUGUUGAGGUAGGCGGAAUAAGUCAUGUAGCGGUGAAAUGCAUAGAUAUGACUUAGAACACCAAUUGCGAAAGGCAGCUUGCUAAACAAAUAUUUGACGCUGAGGCACGAAAAGCGUGGGGGAUCAAAACGG